rnacentral:rRNA from 1 species
GACGAACGCUGGCGGCGUGCCUAAUACAUGCAAGUAGAACGCACAGUUUAUACCGUAGCUUGCUACACCAUAGACUGUGAGUUGCGAACGGGUGAGUAACGCGUAGGUAACCUGCCUGGUAGCGGGGGAUAACUAUUGGAAACGAUAGCUAAUACCGCAUAAUAUUAAUUAUUGCAUGAUAAUUAAUUGAAAGGUGCAAUUGCACCACUACCAGAUGGACCUGCGUUGUAUUAGCUAGUAGGUGAGGUAACGGCUCACCUAGGCGACGAUACAUAGCCGACCUGAGAGGGUGAUCGGCCACACUGGGACUGAGACACGGUCCAGACUCCUACGGGAGGCAGCAGUAGGGAAUCUUCGGCAAUGGACGAAAGUCUGACCGAGCAACGCCGCGUGAGUGAAGAAGGUUUUCGGAUCGUAAAGCUCUGUUGUAAGAGAAGAACGGGUGUGAGAGUGGAAAGUUCACACUGUGACGGUAUCUUACCAGAAAGGGACGGCUAACUACGUG